AUUUUUAGUAGAAACAGGGUUUCACCAUCUUGACCAGGCUGGUCGGUAGCACAAAAGAAAGGAGGGGCCCUUGGCCCAAGAUAUGAGGAAUCAAGUUUGACAGGAUGAUUGCCAGAUCUUUUUUUUUUUUUUUUUUUUUUGAGACGGAGUCUUGCUCUGUCGCCCAGGCUGGAGUGCAGUGGCGCAAUUCGGCUUACUGCAACCUCCAUCUCCCGGGUUCAAGCAAUUCUGCCUCAGCCACCCAAGUAGCUGGGAUUACAGGCACUCGCCACCAUGCCUGGCUAAUUUAUAAAUUUUUAGUAGAGGCAGGGUUUCACCAUGUUGGCCAGGCUGGUCUCAAAUGCCUGACCUCAAGUGAUCCACCCGCCUCGGCCUCCCAAGUUGCCGGGAUUACAGGCGCAAGCCAUGAUGCCCAGCCCUAUUUUAUUUGUAAAGGAAAACUGGAAUCUUUUUCUGUCCAGGGUUACAGCAGGAGAAAUGUAAUGGGCCAGCAAGGCUGCUCUCAGGAGAGGCCUUCCUCCCCUGUGGAGGGGGAGACAUCCUCACGGGGACUCAAUUCAGAAUGUAACAGGAAAAAGCGAGUGACUCCAAAGACAGCCACAGGUGUGGAGUCUGAAAUCAAAAUCACAGAUAUUCCACUCCUCUUUGUGUCUUCCAGCCCCAUAAUGUCACCCCAUUAUAGCCCAAGACCCUUCCUGUACCAGGAGGCCCCCCAUAGGCUCUCAUCCCCCAAACCAGCCUGCAAGGUGUGUAUUAAACUGAUGGUGACGUUGUGACUGCUUGUCCAGAUGGGCCCGAGUGAAAUGGGGCACUACUGAUAGUUCCCUGGUGGUCCUAGGAACACUGGGGUGUAUGGUCACCCUAACUAUUGUGCUGGAUUGAUAGAUAGGAUUGGUCACUUGCCCCAGGCCAAUGGCUGGUACGCGGCAGAGCUGAGAUAUUCACUGUGUUCUGGCUGUUUCCACCGUACCCCAUUGUUCCCAGCCCUCUGUUUUCUUUCCACCCCACUUCCCAUGACUUGCUUCCCCUUUGAGACGUGGUGCUAGUAAAUCUUAGAUUCCCUUGGCCUGUACUGCCUGCCUCUGUUACAAAUGCCUUAGAGUUUGGAGAAGAGAUGGAAAGAUCUAUACAACAUAAAGCCAGAGAAUUUUAACUUUUUUUUUUUUUUUGAGAUGGAGUCUCGCUCUGUUACCUAGGCUGGAGUGCAGUGGUGCUAUCUCGGCUCGCUGUAUCCUCUGCCUCCUGGGUUCAAGCAAUUCUCUACCUCAGCCUCCCAAGUAGCUGGGAUCACAGGCGCCCGCCACCAUGUCUGGCUAAUUUCUUUGUAUUUUUAGUAGAGACGGGGUUUCACCAUCUUGGCCAGGCUGGUCUUGAAUCCCUGACCUUGUGAUCCACCCACCUUGGCCUCCCAAAGUGCUGGGAUUACAGGUGUGAACCACCGCACCUGGCCUGAGAAUUUUAACUUUUUAUUGCUCUAAAGUUGCCAUUAGUUUGACCAACUAACCAAUGAAUGAGCUGUAGUGGGUUGCUGAAGAGGUGAUGCUUAGUGU
rnacentral:sRNA from 1 species